rnacentral:rRNA from 1 species
AUGUAGGCAGCAUGACUGACCUGCGGAAGGAUCAUUA